AAUGAGCCCUCAAGCUUUUUAGGCUGUGGUACGAUGACAACAUUAGCGAUUUUUAUUUCCGGGUAAGACCAAUCCCUGUUAGCACGCCCCCAUUAAAAUUAUAGUACCUGGUAAAAGUUCCAGUAAGCUGACUGCGGAUUCGAGGAGAUCAUCGUAAAAGAGAGACUUCGGUACGCCUUUUCACACUACCGGGGCAUAGACGCUAGUCCCCGAUGGCGUACAAGCCUCGCGAAGUCCUGGGGCUGAGUGUGCUCCUGUUCCUUGGGGAUGUGGUGUUUAUUCUCUUGUACGUCGUGAGCGCAUCAGUCCUCCACUUGGAGCCAAGUGUGCAAGCCUCCUCGGUGGUGACUGCUGUCUAUAUUCUGAUCCUGUCUUUGUUUGGAUUAUUCAUAUCAAGAAAUGACUCGGAUGAAAGACCAAUGGUAAUCAGACUAGCUGUCUAGAUUAUUCCUCCACGGUGAGAGAAAAGCAAGCAGUAGGCCUACCUACAAAAACGAUGUUCACAGUACACCAUGGCAUUUCACUGAAGAAGACCUGUAACUGGGUUGUAAAAAUAUAGACGGUGAUAACGACUUGUGAGUGGCUCAUCGUCUGUUGAAUUUGUUCAAUCACCAACCACUAGUCAAUUGAUUAGAUCCUUGUUUGUGAUUCAAGUUGGAAGACACAAACCAACACGUAUCCACUAAAUCAUGUAUGGUUAAAUGUCAGAAUGAUGUGUACUUAUCUCUUAAC